rnacentral:tRNA from 1 species
GCGGGUGUAAUCUAGUGGUAGGAUAGAGGCCCUCCAAGCCUUUAGCCCGGGUUCAAAUCCCGGCACCCGCA